UUGAGCAUCAAACUUUUAAAUUGAAGAGUUUGAUCAUGGCUCAGAUUGAACGCUGGCGGCAGGCCUAACACAUGCAAGUCGAACGGUAACAGGAAACAGCUUGCUGUUUCGCUGACGAGUGGCGGACGGGUGAGUAAUGUCUGG
rnacentral:rRNA from 1 species